UGCUAGUUGUGCGGGUUUAGACCCGCAGCGGAAAGCUCAGUAACACGUGGCCAAACUACCCUGUGGAUGGGAACAAUCUCGGGAAACUGAGGCUAAUUCCCAAUAACGCUCCACCCCUGGAACGGGCGGAGCUGGAAACGCUACGGCGCCACAGGAUGUGGCUGCGGUCGAUUAGGUAGACGGUGGGGUAACGGCCCACCGUGCCAAUAAUCGGUACGGGUUGUGAGAGCAAGAGCCCGGAGACGGAAUCUGAGACAAGAUUCCGGGCCCUACGGGGCGCAGCAGGCGCGAAACCUUUACACUGUACGCAAGUGCGAUAAGGGGACUCCGAGUGUGAAGGCAUAGAGCCUUCACUUUUGUACACCGUAAGGUGGUGUACGAAUAAGGGCUGGGCAAGACCGGUGCCAGCCGCCGCGGUAAUACCGGCAGCCCGAGUGAUGGCCGAUAUUAUUGGGCCUAAAGCGUCCGUAGCUGGCCGGACAAGUCCGUUGGGAAAUCUGUUCGCUUAACGAGCAGGCGUCCAGCGGAAACUGUUCGGCUUGGGACCGGAAGACCUGAGGGGUACGUCCGGGGUAGGAGUGAAAUCCUGUAAUCCUGGACGGACCACCGGUGGCGAAAGCGCCUCAGGAGGACGGAUCCGACAGUGAGGGACGAAAGCUAGGGUCUCGAACCGGAUUAGAUACCCGGGUAGUCCUAGCUGUAAACGAUGC
rnacentral:rRNA from 1 species